GUACAUGUUACACCGAUAUGCACCAAAGACUCGAAGGGGAAGAAGAAGGAGAAGGGGAAGGAAGAGCUGACAAUGGAGGAAGAGUAAGGAAGAAGAGGAGGUGGUGGAAGAAGAUGAAGAAGAGCAGGUGGUGGAGGAACAAGAGAAGGAUGAAGAGGAAGAAGAGGAGGUGGAGGAGCAUGAGGAAGAAAGAAAAAGAGGAAGGAGGAAGAAGAGGAGGUGGUGGAAGAAGAUGAAGAAGAGCAGGUGGUGGAGGAACAAGAGAAGGAUGAAGAGGAAGAAGAGGAGGUGGAGGAGCAUGAGGAAGAAAGAAAAAGAGGAAGGAGGAAGAAGAGGAGGUGGUGGAGAAACAGGAGGAAGAGGAAGAGGAAGAAGAAGAGGUAGUGGAGGAAGAGGGGAGCAGGAACUCGGGUAUCGACCUUGGGUACACCGGUAUCGACCUCGGGUAACUUGCCAGAGGUAGGCAGCAUGCCUUGAGUAGCUGGGACAUAGUUGUUGCAGACGGCAGCGAUGGCUCACAUGGCUGUACACAUAAGGGAAGAGGACGGCAGCGGUGCUCAUGUGGCUAUGCAUGUACAGAGAAGAGAACGCGAACCCUAAUCCUGGUUUUAAGUUUUUUUAUUUUCUUUUUUAGUAGAUUGGACCAAACCACCAAAAUGGGGGUGAUCCACUCUUUGGGCUCGGGCCAGUAUACACCGGUUGGUAUGAACCGAACUGGGCAAAAUUGCAC
rnacentral:lncRNA from 1 species